GACGAACGCUGGCGGCGUGCCUAACACAUGCAAGUCGAACGGAGAGAUACGAGUGCUUGCGCUUGUAAAUCUUAGUGGCAAACGGGUGAGUAACGCGUAAACAACCUGCCCAACGGAUGGGGACAACAGACGGAAACGACUGCUAAUACCCAACAGACUCCGGUUUCGCAUGAAACCGACAGGUAAGGUGGCCUCUCGAAGAACCUACCGCCGCAGGGGUGGUUGGCGUGUGAUUAGCUAGUUGGUGGGGUGACGGCCUACCGAGACGAGGAGCAAUAGCCGGAGGGAGUGGAUGGACGGCCGCACUGGAACUGAGACACGGUCCAGAGGACUGAGGGAGGCAGCAGUGGGGAAUCGUCCGCAAUGGAGGGGAGUCUGACGGAGCAAGGCCGAGUGCGUGAAGAAGGACUUCGGGUUGUAAAGAUCUGUUAUUGGGGAAGAACGAUUCGUGUGUAAAUAAUAAACGGAAGUGACGGUACCGAAAGAGAAAGCAACGGCUAACUACGUG
rnacentral:rRNA from 1 species